rnacentral:lncRNA from 1 species
GGAGAAACUGGCUCUGCAGAGUGAGCUUGUGCUAUCGGGGAAAGAAAUUCUCAACCCGCUGGAUGUCUGAAAUGCAGAAUUCAUGUUCUCUAAAUUCAAGGAAUCCAGCCAGGCAUGGUGGUGCACGCCUGUAAUCCCAGCACUUGGGAGGCUGCGGCAGGAGGAUUGCUGCAAGUUCAAGGACAACCUGGGCUACAUUGUGAGAUGCUGUUUCCAAAAGCCAAUAAGAGAGGGUUCCACCUGACCUCAGCGUUCUGCAUCCUGACUCUUGUCUUCAUCUCUGCAUCCUCCAGCCUGCUCCCUCUGGAAUUUCAAGAGCUGCGCUGCACAAGGCAUUGCCCGAGAUUGAGGUUUUUAUAAUGGAAUGAAAACGUGAGUUGGCAAAUAAUCUACACGGUGAAGACUAGAAAUAACCUUUAAGUUCAUUUGGUCCAGCUAUUUACACUUCAUGCUGCCCCUUCAUCACUGUUGCCGGCAGCCUUGCAACUUCGGUCAACAUUCCCCGUGUGUGCACUUAGAAGCCGUGUGUCCGGUGGGACCCGAGAGCCUGGUGCCAUUUCCUGAGAAAGGUGUCUGUACGAAAGAUAAAUUUUGGUGUGGUUAAUACAUUCAGUUUAACUGUAAUUUAGUUCAAUUAAAAAAGAAGAAUGGGACACUUGGC